CAGCAGCCGCGGUAAUACGGAGGAUGCAAGCGUUAAUCGGAAUUACUGGGCGUAAAGCGCACGCAGGCGGUCUGACAAGUCAGAUGUGAAAUCCCCGGGCUUAACCUGGGAACUGCAUUUGAAACUGUCAGGCUGGAGUCUUGUAGAGGGGGGUGGAAUUCCAGGUGUAGCGGUGAAAUGCGUAGAGAUCUGGAGGAAUACCGGUGGCGAAGGCGGCCCCCUGGACAAAGACUGACGCUCAGGUGCGAAAGCGUGGGGAGCAAACAGGAUUAGAUACCCCUGUAGUCCCUGUCUCUUAUAC
rnacentral:rRNA from 1 species